CUGGGCCUUACCCUGCCAACACAGCUGCAGCACAGCUCCUCCAUCUAGAAACCUGGCAGCCAUCCCAGCUGGAUGCCACCUGCCAACACUUUUCUGAAGACCAGCCAGAGGAGAAAAGAACAGGAGGGCAAGAGGCUGAGGAGGGAGGGAGGAGAAGAUGCAAAUCGAAUAGCAUUGGCCUUUAGCCCCCCUAGAUCUCAUGCUCCCAGAGUUAUGGAGAAGUAGGAUCACCCCCACAGACUGGAAUGGUGGCCUCCCAUGCAGAAGAGGGGGGCCAAUGGAAGGAUGCAUACCAACAAGGUGUUACAUCCAGAGGUGGCUCUUUGCUAUCUAAAUUGGACUUAACCGAACC
rnacentral:lncRNA from 1 species